GAUCAUGGCUCAGGACGAACGCUGGCGGCGUGCUUCAUACAUGCAAGUCGAACGAGAAAUUCACUUCGGUGGAUGGAAAGUGGCGGACGGGUGAGUAAUGUGUAGAGAAUCUGCCCUAGAGCGGGGGACAACAGCUGGAAACGGUUGCUAAUACCCCAUAUGAGCGUAUCUGAAAUGGUAUUCUUGAAAACUCCGGUGCUCUAGGAUGAGUCUGCAUCUGAUUAGCUAGG
rnacentral:rRNA from 1 species